GCCUGAGUGGCUCAGUUGGUUAAGCGUCUGACUUCGGCUCAGGUCAUGAUCUCACAGUUUGUGGGUUGGAGCUCCACAUCAGGCU
rfam:Felis catus isolate Cinnamon breed Abyssinian chromosome A3, whole genome shotgun sequence.